rnacentral:rRNA from 1 species
AACGAACGCUGGCGGCAGGCCUAACACAUGCAAGUCGAGCGAGAAGGGUUUUGAAGCUUGCUUUAGAACCCGGACAGCGGCGAAAGGGAGAGUAACGCGUAGUUAUGUGCCCUAGGGUCCGGAAUAGCCACGGGAAACUGUGGGUAAUGCCGGAUAACAUCCCCGGAUCAAAGGUGCGAUUCCGCCCUAGGAGCAGACUGCGUCCUACUAGCUAGUUGGUGGGGUAAUGGCCCACCAAGGCAAUGAUGGGUAGCGGGUGUGAGAGCAUGACCCGUCUCACUGGGACUGAGACACUGCCCAGACACCUACGGGUGGCUGCAGUCGAGAAUCUUCGGCAAUGGGCGAAAGCCUGACCGAGCGAUGCCGCGUGCGGGAUGAAGGCCCUCGGGUUGUAAACCGCUGUCGUAGGGGAGGAAGGUUCCGUGAAGAGCGGAAUUUGACCUAUCCUAGGAGGAAGUACGGGCUAAGUUCGUGCCAG